UACGUAGGGUCCGAGCGUUGUCCGGAAUUAUUGGGCGUAAAGGGCGCGUAGGCGGCCUGGCAAGUGGAAGGUGAAAUCCCUCGGCUUAACCGAGGAACUGCCCUCCAAACUGCUUGGCUUGAGACCGGGAGAGGUGAGUGGAAUUCCCAGUGUAGCGGUGAAAUGCGUAGAUAUUGGGAGGAACACCAGUGGCGAAGGCGGCUCACUGGACCGGUACUGACGCUGAGGCGCGAAAGCGUGGGGAGCAAACGGG
rnacentral:rRNA from 1 species